UACGUAGGUGGCAAGCGUUGUCCGGAUUUACUGGGCGUAAAGAGCGCGCAGGCGGUCGAUCAAGUCGCGUGUGAAAGCCCCCGGCUCAACUGGGGAGGGUCACGCGAUACUGAUCGACUCGAAGGCAGGAGAGGGAAGCGGAAUUCCCGGUGUAGUGGUGAAAUGCGUAGAUAUUGGGAGGAACACCAGUGGCGAAGGCGGCUUCCUGGCCUGUUCUUGACGCUGAGGCGCGAAAGCUAGGGUAGCAAACGGG
rnacentral:rRNA from 1 species